AGUGAACGUUGGCGGCGUGGAUUAGGCAUGCAAGUCGAGCGAGAACCGUAGCAAUACGGGGACAGCGGCGAAAGGGACAGUAAUGUGUAGGUACCUACCUCCGGGUUCGGGAUAGCUGCGGGAAACUGCAGGUAAUACCGAAUAACGUCUCCGGACCAAAGGUGUGAUUCCACCUGGAGAGGGGCCUGCAUCCUAUUAGCUUGUUGGCGGGGUAACGGCCCACCAAGGCGACGAUGGGUAGCGGGUGUGAGAGCACGACCCGCGUCAUUGGGAAGGAGACACUGCCCAGACACCUACGGGUGGCUGCAGUCGAGGAUCUUCGGCAAUGGGCGCAAGCCUGACCGAGCGACGCCGCGUGCGGGAUGAAGGCCUUCGGGUUGUAAACCGCUGUCGUAGAGGAGGAAGUGCAGGGGGGUUCUCCCCUCUGUUUGACCUAUUCUAGGAGGAAGGACGGGCUAAGUUCGUGCCAGCAGCCGCCGUAA
rnacentral:rRNA from 1 species